ACUCAAAGGAAUUGACGGGGACCCGCACAAGCGGUGGAGCGUGUGGUUUAAUGCGACGCUAAGCGAAGAACCCUACCCAGGUUUGACAUCCCGGGAACCUCCUGGAAACAGGAGGGUGCCGCAAGGAGCCCGGUGACAGGUGCUGCAUGGCCGUCGUCAGCUCGUGUCGUGAGAUGUUGGGUUAAGUCCCGCAACGAGCGCAACCCUCGUCGUAUGUUACAUGUGUCAUACGAGACUGCCUCGGUCAACGAGGAGGAAGGUGAGGAUGACGUCAGGUCCGCAUGGCCCUUAUACCUGGGGCGACACACGCGCUACAAUGGCCGGCACAAUGAGCUGCAAUACCGUAAGGUGAAGCUAAUCUCAUCAAAGCCGGUCCCAGUUCGGAUUGGGGGCUGCAACUCGCCCCCAUGAAGCCGGAAUCGCUAGUAAACGCGGAUCAGCCACGCCGCGUUGAAUACGUUCUCGGGUCUUGUACACACCGCCCGU
rnacentral:rRNA from 1 species